rnacentral:rRNA from 1 species
UACGUAGGGGGCUAGCGUUGUCCGGAUUUACUGGGCGUAAAGAGCGUGUAGGCGGCUGGCCAAGCGUGAUGUGAAAUCUUCGGGCUUAACCCGAAAACUGCAUUGCGAACUGGUCUGGCUAGAGUGUGUGAGAGGGUAGUGGAAUUCCCGGUGUAGCGGUGAAAUGCGUAGAUAUUGGGAGGAACACCAGUGGCGAAGGCGGCUACCUGGCACAUAACUGACGCUGAUACGCGAAAGCGUGGGGAGCGAACCGG